AAUAGAUACCCGGGUAGUCCAUGCCGUAAACGAUGUCUACUAGCCGUUGGGGCCCUUGAGGCUUUUAGUGGCGCAGCUAACGCGAUAAGUAGACCGCCUGGGGGAGUACGGUCGCAAGACUAAAACUCAAAUGAAUUGACGGGGGCCCGCACAAGCGGUGGAGCAUGUGGUUUAAUUCGAUGCAACGCGAAGAACCUUACCUGGCCUUGACAUACAGAGAACUUUCCAGAGAUGGAUUGGUGCCGUUCGGGAACUCUGAUACAGGUGCUGCAUGGCUGUCGUCAGCUCGUGUCGUGAGAUGUUGGGUUAAGUCCCGCAACGAGCGCAACCCUUUCCCUUAUUUGCCAGCACUUCGGGGUGGGAACUUUAAGGAUACGUGCCAGUGACAAAACGUGGAGGAAGGCGGGGACGACGUCAAGUCAUCAUGGCCCUUACGGCCAGGGCUACACACGUGCUACAAUGGUCGGUACAAAGGGUUGCUACUGCGCGAGCAGAUGCUAAUCUCAAAAAGCCGAUCGUAGUCCGGAUCGCAGU
rnacentral:rRNA from 1 species